UACGUAGGGUGCGAGCGUUGUCCGGAAUUAUUGGGCGUAAAGGGCUCGUAGGCGGUCUGUUGCGUCAGGAGUGAAAACUCGGGGCUUAACCCCGAGCCUGCUUCUGAUACGGGCAGACUAGAGGUAUGCAGGGGAGAACGGAGUUCCUGGUGUAGCGGUGAAAUGCGCAGAUAUCGUUUGGAACGCCAAAGGUGAAGACAGGCGACUGGGGAUGUGCUGACGCUGAGACACGAAAGCCAGGGGAGCAAACGGG
rnacentral:rRNA from 1 species